GGUUGUCUGUCUCAGUGGUUAGAGCGUAGGUCUUGUAACCGAAAGGUUACAGGAUCGAAUCCUGCUAGAGGCUG
rnacentral:tRNA from 1 species